CAUUUGAAGAGAAAGUUCUAUAAGUGUUGAUAGGGUAGAAGUCAACACUUAGACCCUUCACUCCCACACGCAUCAAAUUGUGGUCAAUCCGAUCUUGCAAAGAUACAAUUAUCAAGAAUCAUAGUAUAGGAAUCCAUCCUAUAGCCAACACUAGCAUACCUCACAGUCUGUACUUAGUUAUAGUCCUUCUUUUGAGGAAGACAUCUGACAAAUCGUCCACUCCUAUAUGCAAUCCAUCGUUAAGUUAGAGAUCCAAAUCGAUCAA
rnacentral:lncRNA from 1 species